rnacentral:sRNA from 1 species
AGCUGUCUGAGCUGCCCGGGCAGCGGGGGAGCAGCGAGCGGGCUUCCGCGAGCCGGAGGAGGCACAGGCCUGUCCCGGGUCCCGGCAGGUCCGCGCGUCUGUUCCGAGCGCUCUGUGAGGCCUAAAAAGGAGGAGCAACCUGUCCAGAAUCCCCGCAGGACUGCCCAGUGGAUCAAAUGAGGUAUUGAACAUGUGAGCUGUCCUUACAGGAGCAGGACCCAGCACCCUGUCAGACACUUAAAAGAAGAGCUGAAGAUGGAAUCUCUUAUUGGCCAGGCUGGAGUACAGUGGCACAAUCACGGCUCACUGAAGCCUUGAGUUCCCAGGCCUCUAACCUCAGCCUCCCAAGGAACUGGGACCACCUGGGACCGCAGAUGAGGAAGCUGAGUCACAGAAGAUUGAGUAGAUUGCCUAGUGUGUCUCACAGAAUGGAAGGGGAAAGAACCAGAAUAGAAGCUGUGGCAAUUUUAAGCUGUCAAGGAUGAAAGGUCUAGAACUGAAUGAUUACCAAUUUAGAUCUGGGAGCUCAAAAAAACAAAAUGUGAUGUCAAGAAAAAGUGAAAGAUUGUCUCCCAUGAAAGUAACAAGAGAUGAAACAUGCUGAAUGAGCCUAAAUGGACUUGAUGGAGAUAUGGAUGUGGAUUAAACUGAGAGUGUUGGGAUAUAAGGAUAUAAUACUGAUUUAUGAAGGUGAACAGUCAAACGUCAGUGCAGGAUCUGAACUGCAGGGGAAAUAAGGGGCCUUGGUGGCUAAGGAAGGGAGGAGGGGAGAAAGAGGUGGUACUAGGGGAAGUAGCACAGAGGAAGAGGCAAUACUACCCGAGACUAGAUGCGGACCGUCUCUGGCAACCAGGAAAAGGCAAAUACAAAGAGAGGUCUGCUGGUCACAGCGGGGCACCUCGAGGAGAGGACGACUAGGAGCACACGGCCCGGAAAGGUCCAGGUCAGGGAAGGGGUACGCAGCGGACCGGGACUGGGGCGCGAGGGUGAACGCCGAAAGGCAUGGAGUCUGCAGGCCGCACUGUCCCGCCCCUGUCACUGCGGGCGAGGCCUGUAGCAAAGCCUGCUGGGA